ensembl:lncRNA
GAACAAGAAGCUGGCGACUAGGAAGCCGACAACCAGCCUCGUCUUAGCCUAGCGGUCUACUUGACUAACCUAGCUGGCUAACUCGCCAGCUCGACUUAAACGUGGGUGUUUAUUAGUUUUCACUCGCGCAAAAAAACAACUUUUUAUAAAUGAGACAAAAGUAUUAAAUGUAGCUUUAUCCAUUUGGAGAAGCGGGCUGAGUCCAUGGCAGACAGAACACAGAGCGGCGCUGGGCCUGCCGCCGAUCGUGAUUGGUCAGUUUGAAGAUUGUUCGCGGUCUGAUUGGACGACGUCGACGUCAGUCACAGGACGAGCGCAGAGCGAAAGUAGGUUGGCGAGUGUGGCGCAAGGAGGGGCGAUGGUUUUUUUCCCGCCUGUAUUCGGACAAAUCCCGCCCACGCUGCUAGAGGAUUGGCUGGAGGUAGUUGGCGUCCAGCCAUAGGAUUGGCUACCUAGGAUCGGCCUGGGCGGAAAACGGGUAGAAAACAUUAACGUGUGGAAUGAAGUUAGACCUGUACAAGCCAAGGCAAAGAACAGCCAAACCCAUCGCUGCACUCCUACACCAAGUAGAGGAGAACGGGAUUGGUUAGCACAGCGUUAUUAACGUCACGGGAAACUCACAGAAACGUAACCAACUUUCACCCCAUUUGUCAGGGGCUCAGUUGAGGUGGGAUAACCUAACAGGGAAUUCCACCAACCUUUGGGCAGUCGUGGGCUGGAGGUUAGGGAACCAGCCCUGUGACUGGAAGGUUGCCGGUUCGAUCCCCUUGGCUGACAGUCCAUGACUGAAGUGCCCUUGAGCAAGGCACCUAACCCCCAAUUGCUCCCCGGGCGCCGUGGAUAGUGCUGCCCACUGCUCCGGGCAAGUGUGCUCACUAGUGUGUAUGUGGGUGUUUCACUGCACGGACGGGUUAAAUGCAGAGGUCUAAUUUCACAGUGUGCAAACACAGAGAGACAAAUGGUUGUUAAUUCUAUUUUUUUCAAAAUGUUUAAUUGAGAUGUAAACCAGAGCCGGUUUAUGAGGAGCCUGGCCACUUCCUAUUUCCCCCGUUAUAUCAAAAACAGGACUGCUGAACAGCAGAGGGCGCCCACGAGCUGGUGCUCAAUGAACGAAAAGUUAAAAUAGUUUCUAAUCACUCGCCCAGAACAUUCCUUUAAUUUAUAAUAAAAAAUAAAUGUAAUAAAUAAAAAAGUAGAAGGAUGUAUUUCACACAAUAAAAAGAAAUCUCACCUGUAUGUUUCCUUUUUUCUACAGCAAACGGGUUCUGGGCAGCAGGAGGCGGGGCUUUACUGCUAGAGCGGGAUGAUUGAUGGGCGAGCGGAGCAGCUCAUUGGCUGUUCGCGCUCUCUGACGUCAUUGCCCAACACGAGGCGCCGAUUUAAGCCCCUACGAUUCGAGGUUAAAAGCUCUUAAAAAUAUAAC